CAGUCGCCACGGUAACACGGAGGGUGCGAGCGUUAAUCGGAAUUACUGGGCGUAAAGCGUACGCAGGCGGUUUGUUAAGUCAGAUGUGAAAUCCCCGAGCUUAACUCGGGAACUGCAUUUGAAACUGGCAGGCUAGAGUCUCGUAGAGGGGGGUAGAAUUCCAGGUGUAGCGGUGAAAUGCGUAGAGAUCUGGAGGAAUACCGGUGGCGAAGGCGGCCCCCUGGACGAAGACUGACGCUCAGGUACGAAAGCGUGGGGAGCAAACAGGAUUAGAUACCCGGGUAGUCCCUGUCUCUUAUAC
rnacentral:rRNA from 1 species